UACGUAGGGGGCAAGCGUUGUCCGGAAUUAUUGGGCGUAAAGAGCGCGUAGGCGGCCAACUAAGUCAGACGUGAAAUCCCCAGGCUCAACCUGGGAACUGCGUCUGAUACUGGAUGGCUUGAAUCCGGGAGAGGGAUGCAGAAUUCCAGGUGUAGCGGUGAAAUGCGUAGAUAUCUGGAGGAAUACCGGUGGCGAAGGCGGCAUCCUGGACCGGCAUUGACGCUGAGGAGCGAAAGCCAGGGGAGCAAACGGG
rnacentral:rRNA from 1 species